AUGCCUUCUCACAAACCUAGCAGACCUAGGGGAAGCAUUUUUGAGUGGAAAAAGAUGGACCAAAAUUUGGAGCAAAAACCACCAAAGAUCAGUAUAGACAUCAUUCCAAAUUUAGAUAUAGCAAAUUCUUUCAAGAAACAAUCUCAAAUGCCAAUGUCACCAUUAUCUCAACAACGGGAAGUAAAGAAAUCCUCAAGUGGAAGGUGGAAUUGUCUAUGCUCUCCGACCACACAUGUUGGCUCAUUCAGGUGCCGACACCAUAGGUCUACCCCCGGUGGAAUGUCGCGCGGUAGAUCCGUUGGCUCCAACCUCCUUGAAUUGGGAAGUAAAGCCGGGCCCAUCAGCGACUCGCUCCACGCUCAGUAG